rnacentral:rRNA from 1 species
ACGAACGCUGGCGGCGUGCCUAAUACAUGCAAGUCGAACGAGAGCGACCGGUGCUUGCACUGGUCAAUCUAGUGGCGAACGGGUGAGUAACACGUGGGUAACCUGCCCAUCAGAGGGGGAUAACAUUCGGAAACGGAUGCUAAAACCGCAUAGGUCUUCGAACCGCAUGGUUUGAAGAGGAAAAGAGGCGCAAGCUUCUGCUGAUGGAUGGACCCGCGGUGCAUUAGCUAGUUGGUGAGGUAACGGCUCACCAAGGCCGUGAUGCAUAGCCGACCUGAGAGGGUGAUCGGCCACAUUGGGACUGAGACACGGCCCAAACUCCUACGGGAGGCAGCAGUAGGGAAUCUUCCGCAAUGGACGCAAGUCUGACGGAGCAACGCCGCGUGAGUGAAGAAGGUGUUCGGAUCGUAAAACUCUGUUGUUAGAGAAGAAUAAGUGCUAGAGUAACUGUUAGCGCCUUGACGGUAUCUAACCAGAAAGCCACGGCUAACUACGUG